CCUACGGGAGGCAGCAGUGAGGAAUAUUGGUCAAUGGCCGAGAGUCUGAACCAGCCAAGUCGCGUGAAGGAAGACUGCCCUACGGGUUGUAAACCUCUUUUAUCUGGGAACAAAAUGAUCCACGUGUGGCACAUUGUAAGUACCAGAUGAAAAAGGAUCGGCUAACUCCGUGCCAGCAGCCGCGGUAAUACGGAGGAUGCGAGCGUUAUCCGGAUUUAUUGGGUUUAAAGGGUGCGUAGGUGGAUUGUCAAGUCAGGUGUGAAAGUUGGGGGCUCAACCGGAGAAUUGCAGUUGAAACUGGCAGUCUUGAGUACGGGAGAGGUAUGCGGAAUGCGUGGUGUAGCGGUGAAAUGCAUAGAUAUCACGAAGAACUCCGAUUGCGAAGGCAGCUCACUGGACUGCAACUGACGCUGAGGCACGAAAGUGUGGGUAUCGAACAGGAUUAGAUACCCCUGUAGUC
rnacentral:rRNA from 1 species